GUCCUCUCAGUUACUCAUUCAAACACUAAUCUAGGUGGUGUUGUGUGAGCAUUUUGUCGAUGCAAUUAAUCAGUUGGCAGAAGUAAAGGAGAUUGUCCUAGGUAAGGUGGGUCAGCUUGAUCCAACUGAUACAAGGCUUUAGGAGAAGAAAUGUGAUUUUUCUGAAGAAGAAGAAGAAAUUUUACUGCGGACUGAAGACUCAGUUCCUGCCUGUGUUUCUAGCCUGCCCUUCCUGAUGGGCUAACCUAUGGAUUUGUCAUCUAUAUACAUAUAUGGCUCCCACAGCACCCACAGGAAGAGCACGCUCAGCUCUUGGCAGGACUUCGUGAGCCCAGAAGUAUGAAGAGAACAGGAAGAUCUAUUUUCCCAUUAAAUAAAUGUCAGUCAACUCUACUAACAGUGCUACUCAAAUGUGCUCUGAAGUUGAGCCUGCCCCUGAAAUUUGUGUAUUUCAGCUCAGCAACAAGAGAAAUACAGACAUUGAGAGAGAAGCAUAAACAUUAAG